rnacentral:rRNA from 1 species
AGAGUUUGAUCCUGGCUCAGGAUGAACGCUAGCUACAGGCUUAACACAUGCAAGUCGAGGGGCAGCAUUGGAGUAGCAAUACUCAGAUGGCGACCGGCGCACGGGUGAGUAACACGUAUCCAACCUGCCGCUUACUCGGGGAUAGCCUUUCGAAAGAAAGAUUAAUACCCGAUGGUAUAAAGAGUUCGCAUGUUCUCUUUAUUAAAGAAUUUCGGUAAGCGAUGGGGAUGCGUUCCAUUAGAUAGUUGGCGGGGUAACGGCCCACCAAGUCUACGAUGGAUAGGGGUUCUGAGAGGAAGGUCCCCCACAUUGGAACUGAGACACGGUCCAAACUCCUACGGGAGGCAGCAGUGAGGAAUAUUGGUCAAUGGACGAGAGUCUGAACCAGCCAAAAGUAGCGUGAAGGAUGACUGCCCUAUGGGUUGUAAACUUCUUUUAUAAGGGAAUAAAGUGAGGGACGUGUCCCUUUUUGUAUGUACCUUAUGAAUAAGGAUCGGCUAACUCCGUGCCAGCCGCCGC